UACGAAGGGGGCUAGCGUUGUUCGGAAUUACUGGGCGUAAAGCGCACGUAGGCGGAAUGUUAAGUCAGGGGUGAAAUCCUGGAGCUCAACUCCAGAACUGCCUUUGAUACUGAGGAUCUUGAGUUCGGGAGAGGUGAGUGGAACUGCGAGUGUAGAGGUGAAAUUCGUAGAUAUUCGCAAGAACACCAGUGGCGAAGGCGGCUCACUGGCCCGAUACUGACGCUGAGGCACGAAAGCGUGGGGAGCAAACGGG
rnacentral:rRNA from 1 species